rnacentral:rRNA from 1 species
UACGGGAGGCAGCAGUGGGGAAUAUUGCACAAUGGGCGAAAGCCUGAUGCAGCUAUGCCGCGUGUAUGAAGAAGGCCUUAGGGUUGUAAAGUACUUUCAUCGGGGAGGAAAAAACAAAACUAAUAAUUUUAUUUCUUGACGUUACCCGAAAAAGAAGCACCGGCUAACUCCGUGCCAGCAGCCGCGGUAAUACGGAGGGUGCUAGCGUUAAUCAGAAUUACUGGGCGUAAAGAGCACGUAGGUGGUUUUUUUAAAGUCAGAUGUGAAAUCCCUGGGCUUAACCUAGGAACUGCAUUUUGAAACUGAAAUACUAGAGUAUCGUAGAGGGAGGUAGAAUUCUAGGUGUAGCGGUGAAAUGCGUAGAUAUCUGGAGGAAUACCUGUGGCGAAAGCGGCCUCCUAAACGAAUACUGACACUGAGUGCGAAAGCGUGGGGAGCAAACAGGGAUUAGGAUACC